rnacentral:lncRNA from 1 species
GGGGGUGGGCGGGGAGACUGGCAGUCCGCGUGGGAGGUCGGGGCGACACACCCAAGCCAAGCCUGUGGCGCUGUCCACGGCUCUGGGGCGCAUUCUGGAAAGGGUGCGCGUUGGAUGGGAUGACGGCGGUGUGGGGGUGUUGUGUGUUCGUCAGUGUGUGCCCUUUGACGUGAUUGAUGGAGUGUUCUGCAAAGGUGACAUUGUGUGUCCCAGUGUGUAGGGUGUGCGGCUUUUUUGCAGGUCCGAUUGCUUUCUCAGUGACCGCGGGGUGUGUUCAUGAAUCCUUAUGAGUGAUGGCGUGGCCCAUGGGCGUGUCUUCCCGUGUGUUCCUAAGCAUCUGUGUGAUUUCAUUUUCCUUUUGGAAGGAGCAGUCCUUGAGUCUCCGUGGGCACACACCACGCUUGUUCUGUAGGGCCGAGUGCCGGGAUUCAAGGAAGAGGUUUCCUUUCAAAUGUCAAAUGCCAGAGAGCCACGGUGGGCUCCCACAGAGAGGCACUGUGAUUGUUGGAGCCCCGCAGCCUGAGCGCAGCGUCGCCAGUCAUGGCUGAGGCCGUUCCCCCGCGCCGCUUCCGCC